AGUAGGACUAUUUAAAACUAUAAGGGUCAAGUUUGGGGAUAUGGAUUAGAUGGUGAGGACUGUUGUAUAACUUCAGUUCACUUUUCAUGAACCUAUGAUGCACAAAAGAAAUAUAUAAAUGUGAAUAUGUGAAGGAGGAUUAACUUUUUAUCAUCAGUGAGAGCAAAAUUUUUACCUGGCUCACUUAUUUUGCACUCAUAGAUGCUCUCCUCAGGGUGAAACAACACUCUUUCCGGAAAUCCUUAGGAACUGUUGUGCGUGGGUGGCAUCGGGAUCAACUUAUUGGAUAUAGACUACUCUGGACCCCCUCUACUGGUAUGCCAUCUGGAUAAAUAUAGGAGUGUUGUUCUAGUUUUGGGAAGGACACAAAUAGGUACUACCAUUCCGUCUUUAAAAAAAAAAGCCUUUGAAGCGUCAGCUCAUUGGUGUCCGUAAGCAUCAAUAUUUUGGCAGUACCGCAGAGGAUGGAAUUUUGAAUGUCCGGAGUCAUGAAAAGGUACGGGUAUCC